rnacentral:rRNA from 1 species
GACAGAGGAUGCAAGCGUUUAUCCGGAAUGAUUGGGCGUAAAGCGUCUGUAGGUGGCUUUUAAGUCCGCCGUCAAAUCCCAGGGCUCAACCCUGGACAGGCGGUGGAAACUACCAAGCUGGGGUACGGUAGGGGCAGGAGGGAAUUUCCGGUGGAGCGGUGAAAUGACGUAGAGAUCGGAAAGAACACCAACGGCGAAAGCACUCUGCUGGGCCGACACUGACACUGAGAGACGAAAGCUAGGGGAGCGAAUGGG